GAUGAACGCUGGCGGCGUGCCUAAUACAUGCAAGUCGAGCGAACAGACGAGGAGCUUGCUCCUCUGACGUUAGCGGCGGACGGGUGAGUAACACGUGGAUAACCUACCUAUAAGACUGGGAUAACUUCGGGAAACCGGAGCUAAUACCGGAUAAUAUAUUGAACCGCAUGGUUCAAUAGUGAAAGACGGUUUUGCUGUCACUUAUAGAUGGAUCCGCGCCGCAUUAGCUAGUUGGUAAGGUAACGGCUUACCAAGGCGACGAUGCGUAGCCGACCUGAGAGGGUGAUCGGCCACACUGGAACUGAGACACGGUCCAGACUCCUACGGGAGGCAGCAGUAGGGAAUCUUCCGCAAAGGGCGAAAGCCUGACGGAGCAACGCCGCGUGAGUGAUGAAGGUCUUCGGAUCGUAAAACUCUGUUAUUAGGGAAGAACAAAUGUGUAAGUAACUACGCACGUCUUGACGGUACCUAAUCAGAAAGCCACGGCUAACUACGUG
rnacentral:rRNA from 1 species